rnacentral:lncRNA from 1 species
CCGAGUACUGGCAUGAAACUUAACAGUCCAGAAAGUGAGCUCCACAGUGGGGCCUGGGUGGUCCCCCUGGUGCAGAAGCUUCGCUGAGUCCCGCUGCAACACAGAGCCCAUCAGUCGACACCACUGGAUCACCAUGGUCUCAAUAGAGUAGAGUAAUGCUCUGUCAAUCAGACAGAGCGGCAGGGCUAACAGCGUUCGUCCUUGAGCUCGUCCUUUCAGUGUGACUGCUUCACUUCGCAGAUGCUCGAGGUGCCUGCAAAUGUCCUGACCGACCACCCGGGGCCAGGCCGACUGAUUCAGGGGGCUUCCUAACACUGAGAUGAACACCUACACAAACACACACUCGCUGACUGAAGAAGAAGUCAGGAAUUACAACAAAAUGCACACAUAACAAUGGACUUGAAGGUGUUUGACUGUAAUCUGAAGAUGUUUCAUUGGAUAUUGAUCUUUAUUGUUUGUUUGUGAAUGUUCACUGGUAUAGACCGGUGGUUCUCAACUGGUUUGGCCAUGGGACCCACAUUUUUACAUGGUCUUCAAGCCGCGACAUAAAUUUUUAGAAAGUAUAAUGUAGUUUUAGGAAUUAUCAUUUAUUGGUAUUUAUUUGUUAACAUACACAAGUAGUGACAGAUAAAUAGUAAG